rnacentral:rRNA from 1 species
GCUACGGGAGGCAGCAGUGGGGAAUAUUGCACAAUGGGGGAAACCCUGAUGCAGCGACGCCGCGUGAGUGAAGAAGUAUUUCGGUAUGUAAAGCUCUAUCAGCAGGGAAGAAAAUGACGGUACCUGAGUAAGAAGCCCCGGCUAACUACGUGCCAGCAGCCGCGGUAAUACGUAGGGGGCAAGCGUUAUCCGGAUUUACUGGGGUUAAAGGGGGCGUAGACGGCAGCACAAGUCUGGAGUGAAAUGCCGGGGCUUAACCCCGGAACUGCUUUGGAAACUGUGCAGCGAGCGUGCAGGAGGGGUAAGUUGAUUUCCUAGUGUAGCGGUGAACUGCGUAGAUAUUAGGAGGACCACCAGUGGCGACGGCGGCUUACUGGACUGUAACUGACGUUGCGGCUCGAAAGCGUGGGGAGCAAACAGGAUUAGAUACCCGUGUAGUC